rnacentral:rRNA from 2 species
UGAAAGCAUCUAAGCACGAAACUUGCCCCGAGAUGAGUUCUCCCUGAGACUUUAAGUCUCCUGAAGGAACGUUGAAGACGACGACGUUGAUAGGCCGGGUGUGUAAGCGCAGCGAUGCGUUGAGCUAACCGGUACUAAUGAACCGUGAGGCUUAACCUUACAACGCCGAAG